AACCCUUGACAUCGCCGGACCGGCCUGGAGACAGGUCUUCCUCGCAAGAGGCCGGUGGACAGGUGCUGCAUGGCUGUCGUCAGCUCGUGUCGUGAGAUGUUCGGUUAAGUCCGGCAACGAGCGCAACCCACACCCUUGGUUGCCAGCACGUAAUGGUGGGCACUUUAGGGGAACUGCCCGUGAUAAGCGGGAGGAAGGUGGGGAUGACGUUUACGUGCACUU
rnacentral:misc_RNA from 1 species